GCUCCAGUAGCAAAGUGGUUAAUGCGUCGUGCUUAUAGAGUAACUCUCUAUACUUGAGACACGCGAAGGUCGCGGGUUCGAUCCCCGCCUGGAGCA
rfam:Basidiobolus meristosporus CBS 931.73 K493scaffold_1192, whole genome shotgun sequence.